UAUGGCUGUCGUCAGCUCGUGUCGUGAGAUGUUGGGUUAAGUCCCGCAACGAGCGCAACCCUUGUCUUUAGUUAAAGUAUCUAGAGAGACUGCCGGUGACAAACCGGAGGAAGGUGAGGACGACGUCAAGUCAUCAUGCCCCUUAUGUACUGGGCGACACACGUGCUACAAUGGCGCAGACAAACAGUGAAUCUGAGAAACUGCGCCCAAGUUCAGAUUGUAGGCUGCAACUCGCCUACAUGAAG
rnacentral:rRNA from 1 species